CCUACGGGCGGCAGCAGUGAGGAAUAUUGGUCAAUGGACGCAAGUCUGAACCAGCCAUGCCGCGUGCAGGAAGACGGCUCUAUGAGUUGUAAACUGCUUUUGUACGAGGGUAAACGCAGAUACGCGUAUCUGUCUGAAAGUAUCGUACGAAUAAGGAUCGGCUAACUCCGUGCCAGCAGCCGCGGUAAUACGGAGGAUUCAAGCGUUAUCCGGAUUUAUUGGGUUUAAAGGGUGCGUAGGCGGUCGGAUAAGUUAGAGGUGAAAUCCCGAGGCUUAACUUCGGAAUUGCCUCUGAUACUGUUCGGCUAGAGAGUAGUUGCGGUAGGCGGAAUGUAUGGUGUAGCGGUGAAAUGCUUAGAGAUCAUACAGAACACCGAUUGCGAAGGCAGCUUACCAAGCUACUUCUGACGUUGAGGCACGAAAGCGUGGGGAGCGAACAGGAUUAGAUACCCUUGUAGUC
rnacentral:rRNA from 1 species